GGGUAAGGGUUUGAGUUGGUAGGGUAUUGUCGAGGUUUGGGUCUUGGGAUAGGGUUUUGAUUCCAGGUGAAGGCAGUUUCCCCCUCUUUCUUUUUAAAUUGCGGGUUCUUCUCACUAGUCCCCUGUCCUUGCAAAGCAUCCAACUGAGUUUUCAGGGCAGACACAUUGACGAUCUUCCCAGCUUUCACGAAGUCAUCGUACUCCUCAAGUUUAUUGACAAUGGCGGCAAACGAGCAUCCAGUCAUGCGGAAAAUUUCUUCAAAGUACGGGGGAUCGUGUGCCUUAAUGAAAGUCCGUAUGAUUUCGUCCUCAGUCAUCGGUGGCUCGGCUUUGGCAGCUAUUGUCCUCCACCUCUUGGCAUAGGUCUUGUGAUCCUCGGAUGGUUUUCUUUUUGUUCCUUCCAACGUGGUUCGUGUCGGAGCCAGCUCGCAGUUAUACUCAUAUUGCCUUACAAAAGCAUUGGACAAGUCCAGCCAGGUCUUUGCUUCUUCGGGUUUCAGCUUGGAAUACCAGUCGAGUGCAUCCCCCUCCAGACUUUCUGGGAAUAGCCUCAAAGGCAGAUUUUCAUCAUCUGUUGGCCUACCCAACUUGUUGGCGAACAAUCGGAGGUGUGUCUUGGGAUUGCCCGUUCCAUCAUAUUUGCUGAAUUUCGGGGUUUUGAAUCCCUCAGGCAAUUGAACAUUUGGAAAGAGACACAGCUCGUCGUAGUCCAGCACUCCUUGUUUGCUCAAACCCUGACUCUUUCUCAUGAAUUCAUCAAAACGGUCAAGGCGUUUGAGCAGCUUUGUAUCAACGGGAGCGGAAGGUCCCCCCAUUUCUGGCUUGGCUUGAACAGUAGAGUCUGGUAGGAAUGGCUCAGCAGCCGGGUGAUAAAAGGUAUGUGGCUCAGGUGGUAUAUUUGAAGUGAUUUGGGGUGGUGGACCUCGCGUGUGAGUAAGAAAAAAUGAAGGAUGAGGAGGGUAAGUGUAUGGCAAAUGUAUGGUGGGAUAGGUGAAAGUUUCUCCGGGUGCAAGAGGAAAUGAUGGAGGAACAGUGGCAUGGGCCGAAGGUAGGACAAAUGGCCCUUGCUCAGGCUGUCGGGCGGGUACAGGUUCGGGUUGAACUCCGCUGCUAAUUAGCUCAUUAUUCAACUUCCUUUGGGCGGCCAUCUCAUACGCCAUCUCUCCAAACUUGGUAAGCAUCUCAGUCAACUGAAUCCCCGAACUUGCAGUCUCGGGUUGAGCGGUAGUAGCAGACCUAUCUAACUGUUCCGGUUGUGAAGGAUGAGGAGGGUAAGUGUAUGGCAAAUGUAUGGUGGGAUAGGUGAAAGUUUCUCCGGGUGCAAGAGGAAAUGAUGGAGGAACAGUGGCAUGGGCCGAAGGUAGGACAAAUGGCCCUUGCUCAGGCUGUCGGGCGGGUACAGGUUCGGGUUGAACUCCGCUGCUAAUUAGCUCAUUAUUCAACUUCCUUUGGGCGGCCAUCUCAUACGCCAUCUCUCCAAACUUGGUAAGCAUCUCAGUCAACUGAAUCCCCGAACUUGCAGUCUCGGGUUGAGCGGUAGUAGCAGACCUAUCUAACUGUUCCGGUUGUGAACUCAUGUUUACACGACUCCUCUGGGCUUGACUACGGGAUCG
rnacentral:lncRNA from 1 species